rnacentral:miRNA from 1 species
CAAUCAGCCAUGUCGGCAAUAUUUU